rnacentral:rRNA from 1 species
AUUGAACGCUGGCGGCAGGCCUAACACAUGCAAGUCGAACGAGUGGCGGACGGGUGAGUAAUGUCUGGGAAACUGCCCGAUGGAGGGGGAUAACUACUGGAAACGGUAGCUAAUACCGCAUACCAUCGGAUGUGCCCAGAUGGGAUUAGCUUGUAGGUGAGGUAACGGCUCACCUAGGCGACGAUCCCUAGCUGGUCUGAGAGGAUGACCAGACAGACUGGAAAUGAGACACGGUCCAGAAUCCUACGGGAGGCAGCAGGUGGGAAUAUUGCACAAUGGGCGCAAGCCUGAUGCAGCCAUGCCACGUGUAGGAAGAAGGCCUUCGGGUUUUAAAGUACUUUCAGCGGGGAGGCGUUACCCGCAGAAGAAGCACCUGCUAACGCCGUGCAAGCAGGCGCGGUAAGAC